rnacentral:rRNA from 1 species
AUGUUGCUCGGAAUCUUCGAAACAGCUGAGCAGGCCGCGAGAACCUACGAUGCGGCGGCGCUGCGCUUCAAGGGCGCCAAGGCCAAGCUCAACUACCCCGAGGGUUUCCAGGGACGCACCGACCUCGGCUUCAAAGUCACCCGCAGCAUACCGGACGGAUUACAACAACAUCGCCACUACCCCUCCACCAUGGAGGCGCCAGCAACGCAGCCGUCGCCGCAACAGCAGCCGACCGUCCCAGUCCUCAUGCGGCACGAACUGCCGCCUCAGGGCGCCGGCAGCUCCAGGGGCGCUGUCAACCUGCCCUUCGGCGCCAUGUCGGCCCCGUCCACGUCGUCCACCUCAUCGCCGCACAUGCUCGUCCCUCCGCUUGCGUCCGAGGACCAUACAAUGAGAAGAACUGUAAGUGUAGAAGAGGAAGCUAACGACACACAUGACGGAGUGACGGCGCGCACACAAUCUAGCAAGUUUGUGAACAGUUUUUACGGUUUUGCAAGUGCGUGUGCAUUCUUUACUUUAUCUGACUCUGGUCAAAGGACGACCCUUUUUCUUUUUCUUUUGGCAGUUGCAAGGAACAACGCCGAAUGUAUGCACGGUGCAGACAGGGUCGAUGAGAUAUCAAGGGGCGAUGCUGACACACCGAGUAACAUUGUUGGCAAAUUGCGGUCCGUCGUAUGGGAACACUUUACGAUCACAGAAAAAGAUAAUGGAAAACCGCUCAAAGCAGUAUGUAGACACUGUGGCAAUGAGUUUAAGUGUGAUACAAAGACCAACGGUACAUCGUCUAUGAAAAAACAUUUGGAGAACGAGCAUGCCGUGACCUUUACCAAGAAACCUCCUAGAGGGCGUCCACCAAACCCUUCAAGCACUAGUGAGCCUAUCUUAAUCGGCAACUCGUCCAGGACAAAAGGAAAGAGACGAUGGUCCAAGGCAUGGCAACUUUUUGAUAUCAUAGAAGAAGAAAACGGAGAGCCUAUCAAAGCAAUAUGUAAAUAUUGUCCAACAAAGAUCAAGUGUGGACCAAUGUGUGGGACAGCUGGUAUGCUCAACCAUAACAAGAUUUGUAAGAACAAACCUGGACCAUAUGACCAGUCACCAAACCCAUCAAGCACGGGUGAUGCUACUGCACAUGUGAAGCCUUCAUCUAGCAGAAAAAGGAGGAGACCCGAAUCAACACAAAUGACCGCGCCUAACACCGCGACUGGUUGGGACAAGGUCGAGAUAUCCAAUAGGAUACAAAACAUAACUAGUGAGCUACAAGGCAUCCAACUGGAAGUGCCUAAGGCUUUCUAUCCAUGUGGAUCAAGCUUAUCUUCAAAUUCAGAUCACCACCAGAGUACAAUCUCAGAUCAGCGCCUAAAGACAUCAAGUCUUGUUCAAAAGAAAGUGUAUGGGAGAGAUGUAGAAAAGAACUCCAUCGUGAAGUUGGUGAGGGCAAAAAACAAAUCUCACGGUGUAACUAUUUUGCCUAUUGUAGGGAUUGCGGGCGUUGGAAAGACAACUCUCGCUCAACUUGUAUACAAUGAUCCAUAUAGUGAAAGUCAAUUUGAUCACAAGAUAUGGGUUUGGGUGUCUCACAACUUUGAUGGCAUGAGGCUCACAAGAGAAAUGUUGACCUCUGUUUCUCAACAAAGGCAUGAAGGAAUAGACUGCUUUGUGAAGCUUCAGGAGAUCUUAAAAAGUCAUAUCAAAUCAAAGAGGGUUUUACUAAUUUUAGAUGACGUCUGGGAUGACAAGGAUGAUUGCCGCUUGAACCAACUAAUGGCUCCUUUUAAGAAUGAUAGUGAUAAUGGCAAUGUGAUUCUUGUGACAACUAGAAAACUUUCUGCUGCAAAAAUGAUUGGAACAACGGAGCCAAUUAAGUUAGGUGCUUUAGAAAAGGAUGACCUCUGGUUAUUGUUCAAAUCAUGUGCAUUUGGUGAUGAAAACUAUGACUGUCUUGGAAAUAUUAGCACAAUUGGACGACAAAUAGCAGAGAAGUUAGAAGGCAACCCGUUGGUAGCAGUAACUACAGGGGCACUAUUAAGAGGUCAUCUUACCGUUGAUCAUUGGAGUAACAUUCUCAAGAAAGAAAGUUGGAAAUCACUGGGACUCAAUGGAGGCAUCAUGCCUGCUUUGAAGCUUAGUUAUGAUGAGUUGCCACACCAUUUACAACAAUGUCUCUCACAUUGUUCUAUAUUUCCCAAAAAAUAUAGGUUUCUUGGUAAGGAUUUAGUCUAUAUUUGGAUUUCUCAGGGAUUCGUGGAUCGCACCCAUUUAAGUGAGAGAUUGGAGGAGGCAGGAUUGGAAUAUUUGAAUGAUUUGAUGAGCCUGGGAUUCUUUCAGCAAGUUGAAGACCAGCAGGAUGAAGAUGGGGAUGAGGAUGAGGAAGAAGAAUCCUCUCUAGGCAGUCAAAUUCGGUACUCUAUGUGUGGUCUCAUGCAUGAUUUUGCCAAGAUGGUUUCAAGGACUGAAUGUGCAACUAUAGAUGGUCUACACUGCAAAAUGCUGCCAAAUAUACGUCAUUUGGCGAUAGUAACUGAUUCUGCAUACAACAAAGAUUGGUAUGGGAACAUUCCUCGUAAUGAGAAUUUUGAAGAAAAUCUGAGAAACACGGUUACAUCGGUCAGCAAAUUGAGGACGCUGGUUUUAGUUGGGCACUAUGACUCUUUCUUCAUAGAAUUGUUCCAAACUAUAUUCCGAAAGGCACAUAAUUUACGCCUGCUGCAAGUGUCUGCAACAUCCACUGGUUUUAACUCCUUUUGUUGUGUUUUGGCAAAUCCUUUGCAUCUACGUUAUCUAAAACUUGAGUUGCACGGGGUUGUGCCACAAGUUUUGAGUAAGUCCUUUCAUCUUCAAGUAUUAGAUGUUGGCUCAGACAUGAAUACUUCUGUACCCAAUGGCAUGCAUAAUCUUGUCAGCCUGCGCCAUCUUAUUGCACGCAACAGAGUGCGCUCUUCAAUUGCUAGCAUUGGCAUCAUGGCAUCUCUUCAGGAGCUACAUGAUUUUGAGGUUCGAAAUGCUAGCGGCUUUGAGAUAACACAACUCCAAUCCAUGAACGAGCUUGUACAACUUGGGGUGUCUCAACUUGAUAAUGUUAAAACUCGGGAUGACGCUUAUAGGGCAGGACUAAGAAACAAAGAACACUUAGAAGAGCUUCAUUUGUCCUGGAAGUAUGCACUGUUAGAAAAUGAAUAUAGCAGUGAAAAGGCAAGAGAAGUUCUUGAGGGUCUUGAACCACAUAUGGGUUUAAAGCAUCUACAAAUAUCUAAGUAUAAUGGUACUACUUCACCAACUUGGCUUGCCAACAAAAUCUCGGUUACCUCCUUGCAGACACUUCAUCUUGAUGAUUGUCGUGGAUGGAGAAUACUUCCAUCUCUGGGAAGUCUUCCAUUUCUUACAAAGCUGAAGUUGAGCACCAUGUGUGAAGUAAUAGAAGUAUUACUUCCUUCACUAGAGGACUUGGUACUAAUUAACAUGCCAAAGUUAGAGAGAUGCUCAAGCACUUCUGUGGAGGGUUUGAGCUCUAACUUGAGGGUGCUGCAGAUCGAGCAUUGCAAAGCACUAACGUCAUUUGAUCUGCUUGAGAAUAAUGAUAAAUUCAAAAUCGAGCAGAGCUCGUGCUUGGCUGGUCUUAGGAAAUUAAUUUUGUAUGAUUGCCCUCGUUUGAAAGUGUUGAACCCUCUUCCACCUUCAACAACAUGUUCCGAGUUACUCAUCAGUGGAGUUUCAAUACUUCCGAGUAUGAAGGGAUCAUCAAGUGAUAAUUUACGUAUUGGGCUCAUUAAUGAGUCUAUAAUCUAUGGCAGUAUUGAUGGAUACGCUGAUGAGUCGAGGAUAAUGGAUGACAAAAUUUUUGCGUUCCAUAAUCUUAGAAACCUCAAAUCGAUGGUGAUAUUUGGUUGCCAAAAUUUAAGGUCAUUUUCAUUUGAAGAUUUUAGUCAUCUCAGCUCUUUAAAGAAUUUGGAAAUAUCAAUGUGCAAGGAACUUUUCUCUUCAGAUGUGAUGCCAGAGCAUACCCUUCAAAAUGUGGCAACCACGAAAUGCAGGGCCUUCCCAUCUCUUGAAAGUCUCAGUAUUAGGUCAUGUGGAAUAACAGGGAAGUGGGUAUCUUUGAUGCUCCAACAUGCGUGGAUCCUUGAGGAAUUGAGUUUGGAAGAUUGCCUACACACAACAAUAAUACAAUUGCCGACGGAAGAGGAAGAAAACAGUCUAUCAGAUCUUAUCUCAGCCAGGGAGGACUCAUCAUCAGGAGAUCAAGACACAUUGACCUGGUUAGCUCGAGAUAGACUCUUGCACAUUCCAUCAAAUAUCACCUCCUCUCUCAAGUGGUUAACCAUUUGGAAGUGCCGUGGUGUAACAUUUAAUGGGAGUGAAAAAGGUUUCUCCAGAUUUACCUCCCUUAAGGAGCUACAAAUUAGGGGAUGCCCCGAGCUAGUCUUGCAUUUGGUGGAUAAAGAUGGAACUUAUUACUGCACGAACGGAAGAUGGUUCCUCCCAUCAUCACUUGAGGUACUGGGCAUCGACAACUAUUUCCAAGAAAAGCUUCAACCCUGCUUUCUGAAUGAUCUCACCAGCCUUAAAAGGUUAUCCGUCUCGUCCAGGCCAUGGUUGAAAUCUCUACAGCUGCACUCAUGCACAGCACUAGAAGAGUUGAAAGUCAUUCAGUGUGAAUCGCUCACGACACUAGAGGGCUUGCAAUUCCUUGGCACCCUCAGGCAUUUGACAGUAUACGACUGCCCUGGCAUGUCUACCUGUUUGAAGAGCCUUUCAUGGCGCUACGGGCUAUGCUCUCGGCUGGAAACGCUCGGAAUUGGUGAUCCAUCAGUCCUUACCACAUCAUUCUGCAAGCUCCUCACAUCGCUGCAAUGCCUAAAAUUAUAUCAUUUUGGGUGGGAAGUAACGAGGCUAACCGAUAACCAAGAGAUAGCCCUUGUGUUCCUCAAGUCCCUGCAAGAGCUCCACUUUUUGUGCUGUUAUGAUCUAGUAGAUCUUCCUGCGGGGCUGCACAACCUUCCUUCCCUCAAGAAGUUGAAAAUAGACACUUGUCCGCGCGUCUCAAGGCUGCCGAAAACAGGUCUCCCACUUCCGCUGGAAGAACUGGAAAUCGAGUUUUGCAGCAAGAAGCUGGCUGAUCAAUGCAGGCUGCUAGAAACAAGCAAGCUAAAAGUCAAAAUUAGUCUAUGCUCUUGA